ACCUUGCUUCCGUUGAGGCCUUUCCAGAUGCAGCCAGACAUCUUCAGGGUCAACCACCUUGCAGCGAAGCUUUUAGAGUCACUGUAGGAUGAGAAGCCAUUCUUUCUUCCUUCCAUGUCUGGGAGAGAGUGGAGCUGCACUGGCCAAGGACUGUUGGCUUUAGAAGACAAACAUCGGCACCUUGACCAGUCGCCCCUGCUGUGGAAUGGCACUGGCCUG
rnacentral:lncRNA from 1 species